rnacentral:rRNA from 1 species
GACGAACGCUGGCGGCGUGUUUAACACAUGCAAGUCGAACGAUGACGACCGAGCUUGCUCGGUCUGAUUAGUGGCGAACGGGUGAGUAACACGUGAGCAACCUGCCCUUCACUCUGGGAUAACCUCGGGAAAUCGGGGCUAAUACCGGAUAUGAGCUCCUGUCGCAUGGCGGGUGUUGGAAAGUUUUUCGGUGAAGGAUGGGUUCGCGGCCUAUCAGUUUGUUGGUGAGGUAGUGGCUCACCAAGGCGAUGACGGGUAGCCGGCCUGAGAGGGCGACCGGCCACACUGGGACUGAGACACGGCCCAGACUCCUACGGGAGGCAGCAGUGGGGAAUAUUGCACAGUGGGCGAAAGCCUGAUGCAGCGACGCCGCGUGAGGGAUGACGGCCUUCGGGUUGUAAACCUCUUUCAGCAGGGAAGAAGCGAAAGUGACGGUACCUGCAGAAGAAGCGCCGGCUAACUACGUG